GGCCUGGCUGGGUGGUCUUGCCGCAAGGUUAGCACUGCUCUGGUCGGGUCUUUCCUUCUGGGGAACCUGCGUGCGCUUAAUUGAGUGCGCAGGGGAUCCAGGACUUUUACUUUGAAAAAAUUAGAGUGUUCAAAGCAGGCUUACGUCUGAAUACAUUAGCAUGGAAUAAUAAAAUAGGAC
rnacentral:rRNA from 1 species